CCGCCGGCGCCUGUCGUGACAGGAAUGGCAGCCUGGAGCGCGGCUGCCUCACCUCUGUCGCGACAGGAGCCCCGUCUAGCGGAGGGUCAGUGAAUUUUGGGAGAAGAAUGACUAAAUUGAAGACUGUUCUACAGGUCUUUCUCCUCCAGAGUGUCACUGCAGAAGGCAGCUCUGCAUUUCCCUCAUGAUCACUUCCAUACCUUUCCGCAGAUGUGCAAGAUUGAUGUUAGUUGACCAGUGGGGAUUUCUAUGCAGGCAAUGCAUGUUUCUGUAUCCUUUAUCUACCAGCAGGUAGAAUUUGACAGCCACAGAGUCCCAGAGACUGUGAACACAA
rnacentral:lncRNA from 1 species